rnacentral:lncRNA from 1 species
UGGAUAAUGUGUUGGUGUUUGUGCAGGAAUUAGGAGAAAGCCUUUGCAUGGCAUUCCAGAGGUGGGGAACCAGGUGGGCUUUGUUUUAGAGGGUCCAGUCCAUCAUCUCUGGAAUCUGGAGGUUUAUGCAUGUCACAAGAAUCAUUGCUGCAGCCUGGGAGCUCAUAAACUGUGUUGCAGCAUCAGGCUGGUGAGACCAGUCUGGACGUUCCUGCCACCUCAAACCAGAGCCAGAGCCAGAUUCAGCCCCUGCUGAACCGUCUGCAGCAGCUGACAGCAGAAUUUCAGAGCGCUCAGACCCAACUAUGUCUGACCCAGGAGAGAGAGAGGGAGGCCAAUGAGAAAGUGCAGAGGUGAGUACAGACACGUGCACUGUCUGUUUUUACAUGGGAAAGUUUAAUUAAUAUACCAAAAUC